rnacentral:rRNA from 1 species
CAUCCAGGAAGGCAGCGGCGCGCAAUACCCAUCCUGAAACGGGGAGGUAGUGACAAGAAAUACAAUACGGAACCAUUGGUUUUGUAAUUGGAAUGAGAACAAAUUAAAACCAUUAACGAGGAUCAAUUGGAGGGCAAGCCUGGUGCCAGCAGCCGCGGUAAUUCCAGCUCCAAUAGCGUAUAUUAAAGUUGUUGCAGUUAAAAAGCUCGUAGUUGAAAUUCUGCUGAAACCAACUAUCAGUUGGUGAAGGCUUAACUCACAAAGUCAGGUAUGGCCAUUAGUUUGGUCAUAUUUUGAGUUGUGUCGUUUACUGUGGACAAAUUAGGGUGCUCAAAGCAGACCUGUGUUUGAAUACAUUAGCAUGGAAUAAUAAGAUACGACUUCAGUUGAAUCUUGUUGGUGUCAAAAGAAGUAAUGAUUGAAAGAAACAAUUGUGGGUAUUCGUAUGAGCAUGUCAGAGGUGAAAUUCUUGGAUUUUGGUCAGACGAACUACUGCGAAAGCAUUUACCAAGGAUGUUUUCAUUAUUCNAGAACGAAAGUUAGGGGACCGAAGAUGAUUAGAUACCAUCGUAGGUCUUAACCAUAAACUAUGCCGACUAGGGAUUGAUGGAUGUGCUAAAAAACAUCAUCAGUACCUCGUGAGAAAUCAAAGUCUUUGGGUUCCCGGGGGGAGGUAUGGUCCGC